rnacentral:rRNA from 1 species
AGAGUUUGAUCAUGGCUCAGAAUCAACGCUGGCGGCGCGCUUAACACAUGCAAGUCGAACGAGAAAGGGGAGCAAUCCCUGAGUAAAGUGGCGUACGGGUGAGUAACACGUGGGUAAUCUACCUCUGGGUGGGGAAUAACCCUGGGAAACCGGGGCUAAUACCGCAUACGCUCGGGAGAGGAAAGGCGCAAGUCGCCUGGAGAGGAGCCCGCGGCCGAUUAGCUAGUUGGUAGGGUAAAGGCCUACCAAGGCCAAGAUCGGUAGCCGGCCUGAGAGGGCACACGGCCACACUGGCACUGAAACACGGGCCAGACUCCUACGGGAGGCAGCAGUGGGGAAUCUUGCACAAUGGGGGCAACCCUGAUGCAGCGACGCCGCGUGAGUGAUGAAGCCCUUCGGGGUGUAAAGCUCUUUCGGCAGGGACGAUAAUGACGGUACCUGAAGAAGAAGCUGCGGCUAACUACGUGCCAGCAGCCGCGGUAAUACGUAGGCAGCGAGCGUUGUUCGGAGUUACUGGGCGUAAAGCGUGCGUAGGCGGUGGUCCAAGUCUGGUGUGAAAUCUCCCGGCUCAACUGGGAGGGUGCGCCGGAAACUGGGCUGCUGGAGUGUGGGAGAGGUAAGCGGAAUUCCUGGUGUAGCGGUGAAAUGCGUAGAUAUCAGGAGGAACACCUGCGGUGUAGACGGCUUACUGGACCAUGACUGACGCUGAGGCACGAAAGCGUGGGGAGCAAACAGGAUUAGAUACCCUGGUAGUCCACGCCCUAAACGAUGCAUACUUGGUGUGGGCAGUUCAGUCUGUCCGUGCCGGAGCUAACGCGUUAAGUAUGCCGCCUGGGGAGUACGGUCGCAAGGCUGAAACUCAAAUGAAUUGACGG